rnacentral:rRNA from 1 species
CACGUAGUUAGCCGGUGCUUAUUCUUCCAGUACCGUCAUCCCUUCUAGGUAUUAGCCACAAGGAUUUCUUCCCGGACAAAAGAGCUUUACAACCCGAAGGCCUUCUUCACUCACGCGGCAUUGCUGGAUCAGGGUUGCCCCCAUUGUCCAAAAUUCCCCACUGCUGCCUCCCGUAGGAGUCUGGGCCGUGUCUCAGUCCCAGUGUGGCUGGUCGUCCUCUCAGACCAGCUACUGAUCGUCGCCUUGGUAGGCCUUUACCCCACCAACUAGCUAAUCAGAUAUCGGCCGCUCAGCAAGCAUGAGGUCUUGCGAUCCCCCACUUUCCCCCUCGGGGCGUAUGCGGUAUUAGCUAGUCUUUCGACUAGUUAUCCCCCAUUCCUGGCACGUUCCGAUAUGUUACUCACCCGUUCGCCACUCGCCGCCAGACCGAAGUCCGCGCUGCCGUUCGACUUGCAUGUGUAAGGCAUGCCGCCAGCGUUCAAUCUGAGCCAGGAUCAAACUCU